GCAGGCGGCGCACCCCGUGACGGCGGCGCGGCGUGCUGUCCGGCAACCUUAGCUGCCCCUUCCCCACCCUCCAGCAUGCCUUCCACGGCGACCUGAUCCACCACGACGCGGAACAGCUAGCUGGCCCGUUCCACUCGUGUCUGCACUGUAGCACCUCGUCAAGUGGCGACCUGACGAUAUCGCCAGUAGGCCACGGUGAGAACCCGACUAGAUCUGCGCACGGGAGACCAGGUCGUGCUGUCCCCGCAGAUUAGGCUGUCAAGCGGUUCUGUAAGGCUAAUCUAUCUCAUUUUGUUUAUUUUAUCCGAUUUCUGAUGCGUAGUAGGAAAGGAAUUGAAGCUGAAGACUAAAUUGAGAUUAGGGGUCUGAUUUCAUCGUCCCUUUGGAUUAGGAGCCGAUUUCAGUUGGUCUGAUUACCCUCAAGCAAUUGGCUGUUCUUGCUUUGCUAUAGCCAGAUCAUCUGAGUUUCGAUUUUACUCCUGGUUGCAUAGCUUCUUUCAUGACGUUGUUCUUCACCGAUGCUCGGACAAGAUUACUCUAUUAUAUCCCUGUAUAUGUAAAUGUAACUUGUAAUUUGCUCUUAGUUCUAUUUUUUAAAACAUAACAUGCUGCUAUUAUUGAGAACUGUUAAAUAAGAUAUGUAUGAACAAAGUCUCCGAUAGAUCUUUGCUGGCUGCAGAUGUAUCUAAUCCCGAAUAGAAGCAAAUGUCUGCUGGUGACAGUUCUACGGAUCAUUUUACAAAUAGGAUGGUGGUGACCUGAUAUCCUUUCAUUUGAUUUUUUAUUGGUAGUGUAUUUAAGAUCACUCUUAUAGCAAAUGUGUGGCUUAGUGUUGCCUGAUGAGUGUAGAUAUUAACUUCCCCUGUUGUGUAUGUGUAUCGAAGACAUUAGGAUAUGGUAAUCUGAUUUCCACUGCUUGAUUUGUUGGUUAGGAAAUAAAUAUGGCAUACAUGGUUCAUGGUUUUCAGUAUAUGCUUCUGAUAUGCAGUAUGGUUUUCCAGUACAUGAAUGUGUUACUGACUAUAUCAAAUUACUUAACAAUAGACCUGACUCCGAAUAGAAUCAUAACUUUGAAAUUAUAGUAAAUGCAUGUACCCAUGUUCCUUAAUUCUCCUAAAAAAUGUUCCUUAAUUAUCAGUGCAAAAGGCAUGGCUCAUACAUAGUCAUUCCAGUCUAUCUAUUCAUGGACCUGUCUACUCAUUGGAGAAGGAUUCGGUUCCAUUCUCUUAUUGGCUGCAAAGCUUGUUCAUUCUAAUAUGUUCAUUGGCAGAUGCAAAGCUAGUUCAUUCAUUCUAAUUUUGUCUCAUUACACUGCAGGGAAAGGUACAUUUUAGGUCAGAGCUGUCUUUGCAUGCUUUACAAGCUGUUGUAGCCACAGCUUGCAUGGCGUCCAUGGUUUCAUACAUUUUUGUUUGGUUCCUUGUAGGUACAUGCAGGUUUACUACUUUAUGUACCAGGCUGCACAGAUUUUGGGUACCAAAUAUAUUUUUGAAUGCUUGAUCACUGUUAUAGUAAAUUGACUGCCUGCAUAGUACACAAUUCUCGUAACUUACCAGACCUUCGUUGACCCUGCACAGUGGCAAUCAGAUCUGGGAAAAUACCAAGCACCUAUCAGACUAUCAGUGCACCUACAUUUGAGUGCAGCAAAACAUGCAUGACCGAUUGAUCUUGAUCAGAUUUGAUCACUGGUAAGGCACCAUGCAUGCCCUACUACGACGCCCUCGCUAAACCUGCUCUGUCGACCAGUUGACUUCUGUGCCAAUCCUUCUUCUGGUCUGAUUCUGUUGGGGGCUAAGUGAGCAAAGCAACUCAUGGUGUUUGGCUCAACUUCCAGUUCUGUGAUGUACAUGUAACCAGAUUGUAUUUGUUGGAACAGCGCCAGAUAGAAUGUGAAAGAACAGCAAUUCAUAUUGCUUCAUGUUCAGUAUCCCCUUCUUACUCAAUCUGGCACUCUCAUUCUAUUUUC